AUAUUUACUUAUUAUUUAUUUUCUCUUAUAAUGUAUAUUUAUUUAUUAUUGAUUAAUGUAAUAUUUCUAUUUCUUAUAUUGUAUAUUUACUUAUUAUUUAUUUUUCCUUAUAUGUACAUUUACUUAUAUAUAUUUUUUAAUAAUAAUAACAUGUGUCAUCUUUCAGAAGAAGUAUUUUUCGCUGAUGUGGACGCUCUAUGAAGCCUAAAAAGAUCCUUUUUAUUAGUAUAGACAAGAGAUUUUGCCAGGGCUACGCCCGGGCUUAUACAAAUAUUAUUAUAUAUGUUAAAUAUAUAUAUUUAAUGUAUGUUAUAAAAAUAGUAAAUUGAAUUAAAUAAGAGUGAAAUUUUAUUCUGUAUUUAUAUGAGUUGAUGUCAGUUACUACGAUGUCUUCAUGACUGAUGCCCGUUGUAAAACAACCUUCAAAAACUGACAUCAAUAUUUGUUUAAUACAAAAUUUAAAAUGUUUAUAAACUUAAAAUACCAUUAUUUUUAAAAGUAAUAAUUAUAAAACAGAUUCUAUAAUUUAUUUUCACACAUGUUGGUUCAUUACCAGAGUUAUUAUUUUGAUUACGUUCUUAGGAGUUUGUUUUAUAUUUUUGUGUACCACCAUCUCACCAUCUUAAAUUUCUAAUAUAUCACCCAACAUGUAUAUUUUCUAAAAUAUUCCAAUUUGUUUUGUGUGGAAACAGUUUAUUUAAAAUCUCAGUAUUAAAACUAAAUUGUAGAGAAUUUAUAUUUAUUUAAAUAUAUUCUAACCGACUGUAUAUUUCAAGAAGAUUCUAUUUAUUAUUUUACAUAGUGAUAAGUAACUGAAUAUUUUUUUAAACCAAAAUGCAUGACUAAAUUAUUAUUUAGUUUCUUACAAUAAUAUCUACAAAUAAUAAGAGUAAACUUUAAAUAAUUAAAGAAUUUAAAUUUUUAUUUCUGUAUAUUCUGAAAAUAAAAACACAUUCAAUAUCUACCUAAUCGCAUAAAAAUUAAAAACAAUCAUCAAAAAUUAAAAACUUCAUCUAGAAUAUGAGCGCUCAAGAAAAUACAUACUAAGUAUCCCUUAAACGUUGGUUAUUUAAAUGUUUAUUUUAAUUAGAUGGAGUUUGUUUCUUUAAAUCAAAUCUUCACUUUAUAUUUUUAAACUAUGCAUUUUCUUAUAUUUUUAAUAUAAUUUCUUAAUAAUAUAAAAAUAGAGAUUUACAAAAUUAGAUUGAUCAAGUUAUCUAUAUAACACAAAAAAAUAGAUUUAACUUCGUAUAUUUGACUGUAGUUAUAUAUAACUGUUUAUUAGAAAAGAUUUUCAUUGUUUUUAUUUUAUUUUUACAUAAAUAUUAAAACAAGAUCAUUAAAUAAAAAUAUUAGAAUAGUAAAAUAUAUAAUUCACUAAAUGAAAGAAGAAUUUGUAAAGUUUUUUUCAUUUUUAAAACACAAUUUAAUUAAAACUCACAGUUUAUAUAUAGUUUAUAAGCUUUAAAAUGGAUAUAUUUUGAUGAUAAUUAAGCAAUAAAUUUGUUGAUAAAACUCAUAAAAAUAACAAAAAAAUUACAAUUAUUACUAUAUUUUUGAUAUAAAUUAUUUUUAAUCAUAAAUAAUAAUAAAUUUAGUAUGAAAUUUUGAUCAAAAAAUGCCCCUUCGUACUGGAAGCCCUAAGCGGUGGCUUGAGUCGAUUGCGCUCCGGACCGGCCCUGAGCCAAACAGAAUUUAGUUGUUAUAAUCAAAACUUGGAAUCAUAUAAAAUAAUAUUUAUUCAUAUAUGUAAUGUAAAUGGUUUUGCACACAUUUAUCUUAAAAGAUCCCAAUGAAAAUUUAUCUUGUUAUUAGUUAAUAAUAUAUCUUGUUAUAUACAUAACGUAAAUGAGACUGCAGCUAAGCUUUGAGUAACUAAUUUUGAACUGAAGUAUAUCAUUCUGUCUCUCUGUUUGUAUUUUACUAAGUGCACCAUGCUUAUACAAUUUUGGUAAUGAAAACCAAACUGAACCCUCGGGGACACACAAAACCCAUAGAUACUUUUUUAAUCUUCCCAUUGCAAAUUUUUUUAGUUUUUUUUUCUUUUUGACAAAGUACUUCUUUAGUUUUCUUCUUACAUUGUAGUCAACUCUUAUAUUUACUUCUGUGGUGUAUGAAUCUUGUGAUUUACUUCUUCUGUGGUGUUUAAGACCUUCCUUUCAUGUUCAAUGGUUGGAGUCAACCAUAAACACAGAUUAGUAUACAGUUCGGCAACCACUUUAAUUACUUAUCCCCACCUUACGUGGUAGCUUCAUUACUUAGUACAGAACUCUCAUAAUUAGCUAUGUAAACAACUGGAUCUCACAUGAAGAUUGCCAAGUUACAUUAGCCAGAGACCCAUCAUACUUAGAUCUAUUUGUACAUUAGAAUUAGAGCACUUAUAUAAUCUACUUAUAUAUCUUCACUCUGUGUCAUUUUUAAUGGUUAUACACAAAUACAACAAAUCCUUGCCGUGACGGCCUGAUAAAAGAAGUAAAUUAAUGAAAAAGAAGCAAAGAUGGAUCUGCAAGUUUGAAGAAUCAGUUCUAUGAAUUUCUUUUGCUACGUAAUGCGUCCAAAAAAACUGGGGAACAUAAUCAAAUGUCUAAUACUUUUUGUUCAUGUUCUUUGGAAGGCUACCCACCCACCUUCUAGUUUUGCAUAUGGGUAAAACCCAGGUCUGUAGCCUUACUUGGUUUUGGUUUUUAAUCGACUUUCAUCAUUUGCAUAAAGUUGUAUUAGGGCCCGCUAGUUACCUUUUUUUGAUCAGCAAAACACGCAAAAGUCUAUUAGCUUCCAUUAGAUUUGAUUUGCUUACUUACCUUUCUAAAGAUAGGCCAAACAAAAGUGAUUUGUAAAUAGCCACAAAGCGGCAAACCUGUCACACAUAGUACCUAGCGACAUGGUCGGAGAUUCUCCCAAUAGUAAAUAGCCACAUAUCACAGUUAUUCUAGAUAUAUAGUAGAACUAAAUGUAAUCUACGUUACCUUGUUUGUAAACAGUGCUCUGAUUUUCCGGUCUGUUUGAAGGGUUAAGCUCUGAAACAACAGUAUACUCGAGUAUAUAUCUUUAAUCUGAACCAGGCUAAAAGUUUUCAGAGUUGCAAGCAGGCUGUUAGGAAGAAGAACUAACCCAGAUUGGUCAGACAUGCUCAAGGUAGUAAGGUAGUGUGUGGAGAAGCAUAUACAUUAAUGGACAAGAUUCUCAUUCGCCUUCUGUUUCAAGUAGUUGUUUAUCAUGUUUGGCGGGAGAGAAACCUCCGACGACACCAACACGGAUUUAAGGGAACAGAUCAGUUGAUCUGUAUGGUAAGCAAGGUUGUCAAGAAUCGGAUCUCAUCGCUGGGUCAUAAGGGACAUCAUAGACUUGAAAGGCUCAUGAGAAGGUGGUUUGAUGAGGUUUUUGGAUAUGAAAGGAUAUUCACUCAAUUUAUAUUUUUUAGUUAUAUAGUUCCUCAUUCUUUUAGGAAAUCAUUCUUUGUAAAUUCUUCCCAAAUGAUGAUCAAUAAAUUCAAAAUUUCAUCAAAAAAAAAAGUUUCCAGAGUUGCUUCCACCUUAUAUGCUAAAAAAAAAAGAAUGCUUAUCUUUUUCUAGUGUUUUUUGCGCCAGUGAGCUUCACCAAUUCCUGAAGAAAAGAAAUACAAUAAAGUUGUAAAUUCAAAAGUUGUGAAGCCAUCACAGAAUCAAUGUCGAUGUUGAUGGUGGAGCCAUUUUUUUUUUUUGCUGGAGUUUUCAUUGAAGUCUCCUUUAAUCGGUGCCGAUGUUGCUAAUAUAUUGAGUUUCAAAGCAAUGUAUUUUUUAGGAUAUUCGUAUAAAAAUAUAUUUAAAUUAAAAAGGUAAAAUUAUAUAUUUUAUAUAAAUGUUUAAUAUAAUAUUUCCAUUUUUAUACGUAUAUUAAUAUGUAAAAUUAUACAUUUUAUAUAAAUAUUUAAUGUAGUAUUUCUAUUGUUUAUAUUGUAUAUUAAUUUAAAAAUGUAUAAUGUCACGUGUCUUCUUCUAGGAUAAUUUUUUUCCGCUGAUGUGGACGCUCUAUGGAGCCUCAAAAAGUACAUUUUAUUAGUAUAGAUGUUGAUGGUGGAGCCAUUGUUUUUUUUGCUGGAGUUUCGUUGAAGUCUCCUUUAAUCGGUGUCGAUGUUGCUAAGAUAUUGAGUUUUAUAGCAAUGUAUUUUUUAGGAUAUUCGUAUAAAAAUAUAUUUAAAUUAAAAAAUGUAAAUUUAUACAUUUUAUAUAAAUGUUUAAUGUAAUAUUUCUAUUUUUUAUAUUUUAUAUUAAUUUAAAAAUGUAUAAUGCCAAGUGUCUUCUUCUAGGAGAAUUUUAUUUCGCUGAUGGAGACGCUCUAUGGAGCCUCAAAAAGUCUCUUUUAUAAUAACUCAUAUAUCAUCACUAAGAUAAUUAUAUAUCUAUAUAUAUCACAUUAAUAAAAAAUAAAAUUGAUACAAAUAUAUUUUUUCGUCAACUUAUCUCUAUACUAUUAUUUAAAAAUUUAGUUCUAUAUGUGUCGAUCUCAAGUUAAUUAUUAGAACGAUUGAUUAUAAUGGUUUCCUUAAUGAAUCAAAGAUAUUAUAUGUAAUGUUAUUAUUGAACUUUUUCUGUUUUCAGUUUCUCAUUCUCUUUAAUAUUGUGUUAAAAUAAUUUGUAAAUAUAUAUUUCCUUUUUUGUUAUAAUACUUCCAAAUCAGAUAUAACAAGACAAAUAUCCCCAAAAUAAAAUUUAAAAUUGGUGUUUCCUUUGUUGUCCAAACCAAAUAAAGUAGAUUAAUUUAUAUUAAAAUAUAUAAAUGAUUUAUUAUUAUAUGACUUUUUGAAAUCACGUAUAUAUAUAUAUAUAUAUAUUGUCGCUUUUUAUCUUUAUAAAUAACAAUAUGUUUCUUUUUUUUAGAUAAAAAUAAUAUAAUUAUAAUAAAAGGGAGACACAAACUUAAAAUUUAAUAUUAAAAACUGUGAUCGAUGGAUUCAUAAUUGUCACAAUCGUCAAUACUUACUUCUUUUUUCUUACAAGUGAAAACUCAAAUCAUCUUUAUAUAUAAAGUACAGUUUCUCUCUCUCCUGGGCGUGCCACAUCAGCGUCCACCUAGGAAAGUCGAGCUCUGGCGUUGCGACAUGUGUCAUGUCUAUACAAAACGAAUCGUUGCAUUAAAACUACAGUCUGAUGAGCUUAUAUCGUUUUGUGUAUAUAUAAUGUUUUGGGCUAAUAGUUGGGCUUAAACUUAAUGUUUUGGGCUGACAAAAAAAUAGAAGCUUAUCCCAAUUGUCGUAUUCUCUUUCUUCAACAACAGCGACCUUUGAUUUCUAGGGUUCAUCUCAUCAUGUUCUUCUUGAUGUAAUUAGGUCAACCGACUAUGCAGUUUGUUGGGCUUUGAGCAAACAAAACUCAUCGUCAUUGGCUAUGCGAUUAGACUUCUUCUACUCGGGAAUCUUUUUCAGAACCGUUACAGAAAUCAACCUGAUUCAUGCAUCUUCAUUAACAUUCACAUUAACACCAAUCCUCCACUUCUCACAUGAUCUCCAUUCAAUGAAUCUCACAUUCAUUCCUUUGUGUGAAUCCUCCCCUAUAAAUAUCAAAAUUUUCUUCUCAAAAAAGCAUUCGUUCAUUCUUCUCAGUAAAAACACAAGAAGAAGAAGUUCGAAGCAGCAAAAAAGAGUAAUAUGUGAGCUAAAUUCGUCAAUCGCCGAUGGGUCGGACAUGCCGCUUGGUCACACGGCGGAGGCUCAGGUACAAACAGUUAUCGUUUAAAGAUAUGCACAGCUAAACCUGGAAAUUCCGGCAUAUUUAAAGGGAACGCCUCACCGUCAUCGCUCGACGAUGACUGGAGCACAUUCAUCAACCAAAAGAUAGUAAUCGCUGGUGACUUAAUCGUUUUCCUCCACUUCGAUUUCGGCAACCACUGCGUCAGGACUAGCGCGGUUGUCUCAGAUCCAAUAACAAAAACUUAUUCUGGCUUCAUCCGCGACCAUGAGACAAUACCAUCGAAGCUAAUGAAGAUGAAACGCAAUGCAACAGAAGUGAGCGCACCAGGGAGAAGAGUUAAGGUGGAGGCAGUGGCUGAAGCAGUGGGGCUUGCAGCAUGAAGACAAGUGAUCUUCAAGGAGAAAGAGAGGUAAAGCUUCUAACUUUCACAUCUAUGCUCUUUGGUUUCUGCAGAAUCGAUCAUUUAUUUAUGAUUCUCAGAAAGUUGAUUGAGAAUAAUGAUGAUUAUGAUGAUGAUGACCUUCUCUUUUCUUGAUUCAAGUGAGUUCUUUUUAUAUUUCUUGAUUAUAAAAGUCUUAAGACUUUGACCCAAUCUUUAUGGGUAAGCUUCCUUCAAGUGUAUGAAAUAGGUGCAUGAAGCUUUUCUCCAUGACGAGAAUGCUUGGAACUGUUAGUGAUAUAGGAGUAAACCGUGCGCAAACUCUAGCAUUCGGAACGUUACAAGGAGAAUGUAAAGUUGAAUGAUAUCUUACAAAAAAAAUUCAUGGUGAGAACUAUGAAAAGACUCAAACCAGCUGAUGAAUUAAGAGGCUUCUUCCGUUUUUGAACUGUUAACUUUCUUUAUGCCAUAUGUUUCUUUCCACAUGAUACUUAGUGAUUCUACGUACCAGCAGGAACAAAAAGAAAGUGAUACCGUCACAUUAACUUUAACCUUUGAAAAUCACUGAAAGUUUUUGAUAAUUCCCUUACAUGAUAAUGUUUUCUAUAGAUACAGGAAGACAAGCGCUAGGAUCACAAACAAUAAACUCAAAACCUAAUCACUAAUCCAAGCCACAUUUUCCUACCUGAACAAAUAGGCAGACAAGUCAAAACCAACUUUUGGUUCUUGGGUCAAGACGGCUGGGAGGCAUAGCAGAGAGGAACAAGAUAAACAAUUCUUCACCUAGAAAAUAGACAACAUUCAAAGUAAUAUAAAAAUCUUGCUUUGUGGUGUGCCUCUUUUUGGUCUGUUAAUAUAAAAGCUAAGAUAUUUUUUGAUUGUUUUGUUCCAUUUAAUUAUAUAUAUAUAUAUAUAUAUAUAUAUUACGAUGUUGUCGUUUUUACUAUGUUAAAACUGAGAAAGGAAUAUUUGAUGAGAUA